rnacentral:rRNA from 1 species
UCUGGUGAUGAUGGCAUAGAGGAAACACUCCUUCCCAUACCGAACAGGAAAGUUAAGCUCUAUAGCGCCAAUGGUACUGCAUGGGAGACUGUGUGGGCCGGGGUUCGAUUCCCCGGUA